AGGACUAGUAGGACUACCCCCAUCCCUGGUUCCCGAAGCCAAACCUAGCUUCUCAAGCCCACCCUCCCCUCGUUCCGUUUCUCCUCUCUGCCAUCGUCGUCGCGAUUCCUUUCCUCGAGGAGAUUCACCGGAUAGCGACUCUCCUUCCUCGUCGCCGUUCUCAGGCAUCCUAAGGCUUCUUGAUCCGCGGAUUUCUCCACUGCCCAGCGCUCGCACGCGGUUUCACCCGGAAACAUGCCUCUCAGACUCGAAAUCAAGAGGAAACUUGCACAAAGGUCAGAAAGAGUAAAAUCCGUAGAUCUACAUCCAACAGAGCCAUGGAUUUUGACGAGUCUUUAUUCUGGAAGCGUCUGCAUCUGGAACUAUCAAUCACAGACUAUGGUAAAAUCUUUUGAGGUGACAGAAUUGCCUGUGCGAUCAGCAAAAUUCAUAGCACGCAAACAGUGGGUUGUGGCUGGAGCAGAUGAUAUGUUCAUCCGGGUGUACAAUUAUAACACGAUGGACAAGGUUAAAGUGUUUGAGGCACAUACAGAUUAUAUCAGGGGUCUGGCUGUCCAUCCAACCCUUCCAUAUGUGUUAUCAUCAUCAGAUGACAUGUUGAUAAAGCUUUGGGACUGGGAGAAGGGUUGGAUGUGUACUCAAAUUUUUGAGGGACAUUCCCACUAUGUGAUGCAAGUCACUUUUAAUCCGAAAGACACCAAUACAUUUGCAAGUGCCUCCCUUGAUCGCACAGUAAAGAUCUGGAAUCUUGGUUCUCCAGACCCAAAUUUUACUUUAGAUGCUCAUUUGAAGGGAGUGAAUUGCGUUGAUUACUUUACUGGUGGUGAUAGGCCGUACUUGAUUACUGGUUCUGAUGAUCACACUGCAAAGGUCUGGGAUUAUCAAACCAAAAGUUGUGUUCAAACACUUGAAGGCCAUACCCACAAUGUUUCAGCCGUCUGUUUUCAUCCUGAGCUUCCUAUAAUAAUUACAGGUUCAGAGGAUGGAACUCUUCGUAUAUGGCAUGCAACUACAUACAGACUGGAGAACACAUUAAAUUAUGGCCUUGAACGAGUUUGGGCUGUUGGAUACAUGAAAGGAUCAAGGAGGGUUGUAAUUGGAUAUGAUGAAGGAACCAUUAUGAUAAAACUUGGUCGUGAAGAACCAGUUGCCAGCAUGGAUAGCAGUGGGAAAAUUAUAUGGGCAAAGCAUAAUGAAAUACAGACAGUGAAUAUCAAGACUGUUGGAGCAGAUUUUGAGGUCACAGAUGGAGAAAGACUGCCUUUAGCUGUGAAGGAAUUGGGAAGCUGUGAUCUCUACCCACAAAGCUUAAAACAUAAUCCAAAUGGGAGAUUUGUUGUUGUUUGUGGAGAUGGGGAAUACAUAAUAUAUACUGCAUUGGCAUGGAGAAAUAGAUCCUUCGGAUCUGCUUUGGAAUUUGUCUGGUCAUCUGAUGGAGAAUAUGCAAUCAGGGAAACUACAUCAAGGAUAAAGAUUUUUAGUAAAACAUUCCAGGAGAAAAAAAGUAUCCGACCGACUUUUUCAGCAGAGCGUAUCUUUGGGGGAUCAUUACUGGCAAUGUGCUCAAAUGACUUCGUUUGCUUUUAUGAUUGGGCAGAAUGCAAAUUAAUUCGUCGGAUUGAUGUGAAUGUUAAAAAUAUUUAUUGGGCGGAUAGUGGUGACCUAGUGGCGAUUGCUAGUGAUACAUCAUUCUACAUCCUAAAGUACAAUAGAGAGACUGUUUCUUCCUAUCUAGAAUCUGGAAAGUCAGUGGAUGAGCAAGGUGUUGAGGAUGCAUUUGAGCUUCUUCAUGAAGUGAAUGAGCGGGUCCGAACAGGGAUAUGGGUUGGAGACUGUUUUAUUUACAAUAAUUCUUCUUGGCGACUAAAUUAUUGUGUUGGAGGGGAGGUCACCACCAUGUUUCACCUGGAUCGGCCUAUGUACUUGUUGGGGUACCUUGCUAAUCAAAGCCGGGUGUAUCUUAUUGACAAGGAAUUCAAUGUUAUGGGCUACACCUUACUUCUUAGUUUGAUUGAGUACAAAACUCUAGUGAUGCGUGGGGAUCUGGAUCGUGCAAAGGAAAUCUUGCCAUCGAUACCAAAGGAACACCAUAACAGUGUGGCUCGUUUCUUGGAGUCUCGGGAUAUGCUAGAUGAUGCUCUUGAAGUAGCUACAGAUCCUAAUUACAGAUUUGAUCUAGCUGUACAGCUUGGAAGAUUAGAGGUUGCAAAGGCAAUUGCUAUUGAAGUACAAAGCGAGUCUAAGUGGAAGCAGUUGGGAGAACUAGCUUUGUCUACUGGGAAGUUAGAAAUGGCUGAGGAGUGUCUAUCACAUGCUAUGGAUUUCAGUGGCUUAUUGCUUCUUUACUCAUCUCUUGGAGAUGCUGAAGGGAUAACAAAACUUGCAUCUCUUGCUAAAGAGCAAGGGAAGAAUAAUGUUGCUUUCCUUUGUCUAUUUAUGCUAGGUAAAUUGGAGGAUUGCCUUCAAUUGUUGGUGGAGAGUAAUCGAAUACCAGAAGCUGCGCUGAUGGCACGUUCCUAUCUUCCAAGCAAAGUCUCUGAGAUUGUAGGAGUAUGGAAAAAUGAUCUCAAUAAGAUCAACCCAAAAGCUGCAGAAUCAUUGGCUGAUCCUGAAGAAUACCCUAAUUUAUUCGAGGACUGGCAAGUUGCUCUUGCUGUCGAAUCAAAUCUUGCCCAUGAAAGGGGUAAUUAUCCUCCCGCUGUGGAAUAUUUAAGCUAUGCUGAAAGGUCAAAUAUCAAUCUUGUGGAAGCUUUCAAAAGCAUGCAAGUUGAUGAAGAGGAUGUACCUCUUGAAAAUGGAGAUUCAGGUCGUGAGGUGACUGAAGACCGUGCCAUGGAGGAAGGUCAAGAAGAAGCGGUUGAAGUUGAAGCUGAUGAGUCUACAGAUGGCGCAAUCCUUGUUAAUGGGAAUGAGGGUGAGGAAGAGUGGGGUACGAAUAAUGAAGGAACCCCAUCAGCCUAAUAGCAAAUUGGUUGGGCAAGUGUAAAAUUCAAAUUUUGUAUCCGUGUUAACUCCCCAUCAAUAGGGACCUUACAAAAGAAGUUUCAGAGAUCUGUCUCCCCUUCUCAAGUAGGUGGUAUGUCUCUGCGCUAUAUGUUUUGCUGAUUGAUGUCUUACCUGGCAGUAUACCAUCCCUAGUAGCUUUAGAGUAUUGACAGUCAUCAUCCAACACGUAUGCUCCAGUAUAUAAAUAUUUCUAGCCUGGACACUGCUGUCAGUUGAUGAUUUCAUCUGUUCGAAAAUAAAUAUAAAGCAGGGCCACAGGACUUGCAUUGAGUUGGUGAAAUAGCUAAGGAUAUCGUCUUUAAUAUUUAUUUGAUAGUGCAGAUUAACUUGCCUGCCUUCACUUCUUGGUGAUAAAUGCUAAGCUUCAUCAAGCACCAAAAUGUGACAGCUGCCACAAUCUUUUUGUCCGCCUGCUGAAAGAGUUUCCUUUUUUGGCACGAGACUUGCACCACCGGACUUGAAAAAAAUAAAUCUAACCAGAUUUCAUAGAUGCUGCAAAUUGUUGGCACAGCUGGACUUCCUUAUAUAUCAUCAUAAAUAAUCUUGGGUGGCUCAUAUUUGCAUUUUGAUCAGGUUGCUGCGAGGAAAAAUGUAUGAGCUAUUGUUCUCCGGAAGUUCUUGAGGUCCCCGUGCUUGCAGCAUCUCCAGACCCACGCAAACAUUAAUCUAUUAAUUGGUGUAAUGUCACGGACUGAUUCUUGUACCAUUGGAAUCCUAAAAAGAUAGGGAUGGUCAUAGAUGUCUGGCUUUCCUAGCCGUCCUUUUUCGUCAGACAGCUGUAUCUCAAGCUUUAAAUAUUUUCCAUUUUGUCAUUCAUUGAGGUUUAUGUACGUUGUCAUUGAAUAGUUAUUAUUGAGUACAAUAUAGCACCAUUGAGUUUUUCUGAUCCAAAA